rnacentral:rRNA from 1 species
AGAGUUGAUCCUGGCUUAGAACGAACGCUGGCGGCAGGCCUGAGGCGAUGCAAGUCGAACGAGAAAGUGUAGCAAUACACGAGUAGAGUGGCGCACGGGUGAGUAAUGUAUGGGAAUCUGCCCAGAAGUGGGGAAUAACAGUUGGAAACGACUGCUAAUACCGCAUACGCCGGAAACGGGAAAGAUUUAUCGCUUUUGGAUGAGCCCAUAUUGGGAUUAGCUUGUUGGUGGGGUAAUGGCCUACCAAGGCAAUGAUCCAUAGCUGGUUUGAGAGAAUGAUCAGCCACACUGGAACUGAGACACGGUCCAGACUCCUACGGGAGGCAGCAGCUAGGAAUAUUGGACAAUGGGGGAAACCCUGAUCCAGCCAUGCCGCGUGAGUGAAGAAGGCCUUCGGGUUGUAAAACUCUUUUAAUGGGGAAGAUGACGACGGUACCCAUAGAAUAAGCACCGGCUAACUUCGUGCCAGCAGCCGC